CCUGGUGACCUGCCUGCCCAACAAAACCAGAUCCUUGGCAGGCACUUCAUAUCUGUUGGUGGAGAGAAGAAGAAUCUUGCAUCUGCUCUGGGGCUAUCUUAACCUACAAGUCCAGGUUGUGGCCUUAGGAGAAGAGAUGCGAGGAAAGAGGACACAGCAGUGAGUAUGGUUGCUGAAGGGUCUGGGCCUUGUCAACUGUAAUCAUCCCCAGGAGAGUG
rnacentral:lncRNA from 1 species